AGGCCUUAAACCAUCCCAUCAUCAACCUAAAAUCAAGAAAAUUAUUUCUCAAAAAUAUCUGAAUGCCAACAGCAGUUGAAAUGAAAAUAAUGCUAGGCCACACAGAGACUUGAGAAUGUUAUUUUACGACAUGAAACUCAAACAAAAAUCUUAUCCCAAAAUGAUCCAACUGCACAAAAUUCUCUGACUCCAUCACAACCAAGCAAAACAGAAAUAUGCCCAACAAAU
rnacentral:misc_RNA from 1 species